rnacentral:rRNA from 1 species
UACGUAGGGUGCAAGCGUUGUCCGGAAUUAUUGGGCGUAAAGAGCUCGUAGGCGGUCUGUCGCGUCUGCUGUGAAAACCUAGGGCUUAACUCUGGGCGUGCAGUGGGUACGGGCAGGCUAGAGUGCGGUAGGGGAGACUGGAAUUCCUGGUGUAGCGGUGAAAUGCGCAGAUAUCAGGAGGAACACCGGUGGCGAAGGCGGGUCUCUGGGCCGAUACUGACGCUGAGGCGCGAAAGCGUGGGGAGCAAACAGG